CCUACGGGUGGCAGCAGUGAGGAAUAUUGGUCAAUGGACGCAAGUCUGAACCAGCCAUGCCGCGUGCAGGAAGACGGCCCUAUGCGUUGUAAACUGCUUUUAUACGGGGGUAAAUACCGAUACGUGUAUCUGGUUGAAAGUACCGUACGAAUAAGGAUCGGCUAACCCCGUUCCAGCAGCCGCGGUAAUACGGUGGAUUCAAGCGUUCUCCGGCUUUAUUGGGUUUAAAGGGUGCGUAGGCGGUUCGGUAAGUUAGAGGUGAAAUCCCGGUGCUCAACCUCGACACUGCCUCUGAUACUGUCUGGCUAGAGUGUAGUGGCGGAAGGCGGAAUGUAUGGUGUAGCGGUGAAAUGCGUAGAGAUCAGACAGAACGCCGAUGGCGAAGGCAGCUUUCCAAGCUACUACUGACGUUGAGGCACGAAAGCGUGGGGAGCAAACAGGAUUAGAUACCCGAGUAGUC
rnacentral:rRNA from 1 species